AUUGAACGCUGGCGGCAGGCUUAACACAUGCAAGUCGAGCGAGCGGCGGACGGGUGAGUAAUGUCUGGGAAACUGCCUGAUGGAGGGGGAUAACUACUGGAAACGGUAGCUAAUACCGCAUACCAUCAGAUGUGCCCAGAUUGGAUUAGCUAGUAGGUGGGGUAAUGGCUCACCUAGGCGACGAUCCCUAGCUGGUCUGAGGGGAUGACCAGCCACACGGGAACUGAUACGCGGUCCAGACUCCUUCGGGAGGCAGCAGUGGGGAAUAUUGCACAAUGGGCGCAAGCCUGAUGCAGCCAUGCCGCGUGUGUGAAGAGGGCCUUCGGGUUGUAGAGAACUUUCAGCGAGGAGGCGUUACUCGCAGAAGAAGCACCGGCUAACUCCGUGCCAGCCGCCGCGGUAAUUG
rnacentral:rRNA from 1 species